rnacentral:rRNA from 1 species
CCUACGGGAGGCAGCAGUGAGGAAUAUUGGUCAAUGGGCGGGAGCCUGAACCAGCCAAGUCGCGUGAGGGAAGACGGUCCUAUGGAUUGUAAACCUCUUUAGGCGGGGAGCAAUGCCGGGCACACGUGUCCGGCUGUGAGAGUACCCGAAGAAAAAGCAUCGGCUAACUCCGUGCCAGCAGCCGCGGGAAUACGGAGGAUGCGAGCGUUAUUCGGAUUUAUUGGGUUUAAAGGGUGCGCAGGCGGAUUUUUAAGUCAGCGGUCAAAUCGUGGGGCUCAACCCCAUCCAGCCGUUGAAACUGGGGAUCUAGAGUGUGCGAGAGGUAUGCGGAAUGCGUGGUGUAGCGGUGAAAUGCAUAGAUAUCACGCAGAACCCCGAUUGCGAAGGCAGCAUACCGGUGCACAACUGACGCUCAGGCACGAAAGCGUGGGUAUCGAACAGGAUUAGAUACCCGAGUAGUC